rnacentral:rRNA from 1 species
GCGGAAAGCUCAGUAACACGUGGCCAAACUACCCUGUGGACGAGGACCCUCGGGAAACUGAGGCUAAUCCUCGAUACGGCUUCCCACCUGGAGUGGGGGAAGCCGGAAAUGCCCCGGCGCCACAGGAUGUGGCUGCGGCCGAUUAGGUAGACGGUGGGGUAACGGCCCACCGUGCCAGUAAUCGGUACGGGUGAUGAGAGUCAGCGCCCGGAGACGGUAUCUGAGACAAGAUACCGGGCCCUACGGGGCGCAGCAGGCGCGCAACCUUUACACUGCACGCGAGUGCGAUAGGGGGACUCCGAGUGCGAGGGCAUAUAGUCCUCGCUUUUCUGGACCGUAAGGAGGUCCAAGAAUAAGGGCUGGGCAAGACCGGUGCCAGCCGCCGCGGUAAUACCGGCAGCCCGAGUGAUGGCCGCGAUUAUUGGGCCUAAAGCGUUCGUAGCCUGCCGGACAAGUCCGUUGGGAAAUCCACGCGCUCAACGCGUGGGCGUCCAGCGGAAACUGUCCGGCUUGGGGCCGGAAGACUCGAGGGGUACGUCCAGGGUAGGAGUGAAAUCCCGUAAUCCUGGACGGACCGCCGGUAGCGAAAGCGCCUCGAGAGGACGGACCCGACGGUGAGGAACGAAAGCCAGGGUCUCGAACCGGAUUAGAUACCCGGGUAGUCCUGGCCGUAAACGAUGCUCGCUAGGUGGUGGCGCAGGCUACGAGCCUGCGCUGUGCCGUAGGGAAGCCGUGAAGCGAGCCGCCUGGGAAGUACGUCUGCAAGGAUGAAACUUAA